rnacentral:rRNA from 1 species
CCUACGGGAGGCAGCAGUGAGGAAUAUUGGGCAAUGGACGAGAGCCUGAACCAGCCAAGUAGCGUGAAGGAUGACUGCCCUAUGGGUUGUAAACUUCUUUUAUAUGGGAAUAAAAUGUUCCACGUGUGGGAUUUUGUAUGUACCAUAUGAAUAAGGAUCGGCUAACUCCGUGCCAGCAGCCGCGGUAAUACGGAGGAUCCGAGGUUUAUCCGGAUUUAUUGGGUUUAAAGGGAGCGUAGGUGGAUUGUUAAGUCAGUUGUGAAAGUUUGCGGCUCAACCGUAAAAUUGCAGUUGAUACUGGCAGUCUUGAGUACAGUAGAGGUAGGCGGAAUUCGUGGUGUAGCGGUGAAAUGCUUAGAUAUCACGAAGAACUCCGAUGGCGAAGGCAGUUCACUGGACUGCAACUGACACUGAGGCUCGAAAGUGUGGGUAUCAAACAGGAUUAGAUACCCCGGUAGUC